CCGUGAUAAGGAGAAGCUUGUGGGUGCUGAAGGGGCAGAGAUCCAGGCCACUUGCCAGGGGUGGUGACUUUUAUGCUCCAAUUUGAAAAUGCAAAAAGCACUCAGUGAAAGAUUGAAAGCAUGAAUGCAGAAAUGGAUGACUCAUCGAAUGCCAGUGUUGCUCAGUCUCUCUUUGAAACACCAAUAUCUGAAGAAACCCAAGCUGGCACUUUGGACUUGGUGGAGUGAUAUCAGCUUUGCCCAGGAGAAAAGCGACUCAAGACUGUAAACACAUCGUCAAAAGAAAUUGGCAGCAAAUCGACUCAACGCUCUGUUGAUGCUUGACAAAUGUAAACCUCUCCCACCAAAGGCACAAUUAUACCUUGAGAACCAGCAGGAGCUCAAGGCUUAGUUCUUCACUAUCACCGAACUCAACAGCAUUUUUGAGAGGAUGGAGCUCAACCUUACUCGGUCUUUCUAAAAUAUCC